GUGGGGAAUAUUGGGCAAUGGGCGAAAGCCUGACCCAGCAACGCCGCGUGAAGGAAGAAGGUCUUCGGAUUGUAAACUUCUUUGAUCAGGGACGAAAGAAAUGACGGUACCUGAAGAACAAGCCACGGCUAACUACGUGCCAGCAGCCGCGGUAAUACGUAGGUGGCAAGCGUUAUCCGGAUUUACUGGGUGUAAAGGGCGUGUAGGCGGUUCUGCAAGUCAGAUGUGAAAUUCCCGGGCUUAACCCGGGCGCUGCAUCUGAAACUGCAGAAAUUGAGUACUGGAGAGGAUAGUGGAAUUCCUAGUGUAGCGGUAAAAUGCGUAGAUAUUAGGAGGAACACCAGUGGCGAAGGCGGCUAUCUGGACAGUAACUGACGCUGAGGCGCGAAAGCGUGGGGAGCAAACAGGAUUAGAAACCCGGGUAGUCC
rnacentral:rRNA from 1 species